rnacentral:rRNA from 1 species
UACGAAGGGUGCAAGCGUUAAUCGGAAUUACUGGGCGUAAAGCGUGCGCAGGCGGUUUUUCAAGACAGAUGUGAAAUCCCCGGGCUUAACCUGGGAAUGGCAUUUGUGACUGGAAGGCUAGAGUGUGUGAGAGGGGGGUAGAAUUCCAAGUGUAGCGGUGAAAUGCGUAGAGAUUUGGAGGAACACCGAUGGCGAAGGCAGCCCCCUGGGUCAAGAUUGACGCUCAUGCACGAAAGCGUGGGGAGCAAACAGG